GGUAGAAUCAACUUGUACAGUUUUGUGUGGUAUCUACUGCUUGGUAUGUAUUGCAUGUGGCUUCUUCUACAUGUUUUUGGUGGAGAUCAUAUUCACUCUGGUACCAUAGUAGGUAAACUUGAAGAGAAAGAGACAUUACUUUGGGCAUGCAUGCCAUGGUUCUUUUGUCUAUCGAUGACUGCAUGCAUUGCGCAGUGAAUGUGAAGUAAAACAUUAUCUCAGCAAUAAUGAGCCAA
rnacentral:misc_RNA from 1 species